UCGAGCGGUAGCACAGAGAGCUUGCUCUCGGGUGACGAGCGGCGGACGGGUGAGUAAUGUCUGGGAAACUGCCUGAUGGAGGGGGAUAACUACUGGAAACGGUAGCUAAUACCGCAUAACGUCGCAAGACCAAAGUGGGGGACCUUCGGGCCUCAUGCCAUCAGAUGUGCCCAGAUGGGAUUAGCUAGUAGGUGGGGUAACGGCUCACCUAGGCGACGAUCCCUAGCUGGUCUGAGAGGAUGACCAGCCACACUGGAACUGAGACACGGUCCAGACUCCUACGGGAGGCAGCAGUGGGGAAUAUUGCACAAUGGGCGCAAGCCUGAUGCAGCCAUGCCGCGUGUGUGAAGAAGGCCUUCGGGUUGUAAAGCACUUUCAGCGGGGAGGAAGGCGUUAAGGUUAAUAACCUUGGCGAUUGACGUUACCCGCAGAAGAAGCACCGGCUAACUCCGUGCCAGCAGCCGCGGUAAUACGGAGGGUGCAAGCGUUAAUCGGAAUUACUGGGCGUAAAGCGCACGCAGGCGGUCUGUCAAGUCGGAUGUGAAAUCCCCGGGCUCAACCUGGGAACUGCAUUCGAAACUGGCAGGCUAGAGUCUUGUAGAGGGGGGUAGAAUUCCAGGUGUAGCGGUGAAAUGCGUAGAGAUCUGGAGGAAUACCGGUGGCGAAGGCGGCCCCCUGGACAAAGACUGACGCUCAGGUGCGAAAGCGUGGGGAGCAAACAGGAUUAGAUACCCUGGUAGUCCACGCCGUAAACGAUGUCGAUUUGGAGGUUGUGCCCUUGAGGCGUGGCUUCCGGAGCUAACGCGUUAAAUCGACCGCCUGGGGAGUACGGCCGCAAGGUUAAAACUCAAAUGAAUUGACGGGGGCCCGCACAAGCGGUGGAGCAUGUGGUUUAAUUCGAUGCAACGCGAAGAACCUUACCUGGUCUUGACAUCCACAGAACUUUCCAGAGAUGGAUUGGUGCCUUCGGGAACUGUGAGACAGGUGCUGCAUGGCUGUCGUCAGCUCGUGUUGUGAAAUGUUGGGUUAAGUCCCGCAACGAGCGCAACCCUUAUCCUUUGUUGCCAGCGGUUCGGCCGGGAACUCAAAGGAGACUGCCAGUGAUAAACUGGAGGAAGGUGGGGAUGACGUCAAGUCAUCAUGGCCCUUACGACCAGGGCUACACACGUGCUACAAUGGCAUAUACAAAGAGAAGCGACCUCGCGAGAGCAAGCGGACCUCAUAAAGUAUGUCGUAGUCCGGAUUGGAGUCUGCAACUCGACUCCAUGAAGUCGGAAUCGCUAGUAAUCGUAGAUCAGAAUGCUACGGUGAAUACGUUCCCGGGCCUUGUACACACCGCCCGUCACACCAUGGGAGUGGGUUGCAAAAGAAGU
rnacentral:rRNA from 1 species